UGAUCGGCCACACUGGAACUGAGACACGGUCCAGACUCCUACGGGAGGCAGCAGUAGGGAAUCUUCCGCAAUGGGCGAAAGCCUGACGGAGCAACGCCGCGUGAGUGAUGAAGGUCUUCGGAUYGUAAAACUCUGUUAUUAGGGAAGAACAUACGUGUAAGUAACUGUGCACGUCUUGACGGUACCUAAUCAGAAAGCCACGGC
rnacentral:rRNA from 1 species